GAGAGCUCAGUAGUGGAGACUCCUGUGCAUACUCCUAGGUCGAAAGAAGACAGCUGUGUGAGGCAUGGCCUUGUGGGAACUGGGAGAUCAUCUAACCCCUUGGUAUCCUAAGGGUGCCAUGAAUGUUAACAGAGACUGGAGCAAGGCCUAACAUUGGGCUAAUGGCAACAAUUACUAACAGUGACCAACUAGAAGGAGAAUAGACGCGUCGUCACAAAAAGAAGCCAAUGAGAAUCUAGACGGAAUGAAAUGGGCAACAAUCCCCAAGCCACAGACUCAUUCAUCACCCAUCACAAGGAAGAAGCAACAGCUAGGGCGGUGGCCCUGGGGAGAACAGUGCUUCCCUGCUUCGAGAGUACGUCAUAAAAUGUAGGUGAAGGAAGGCAUAAAUGACCUGUUCUAAGAACGCAGGGGAAGGUCUCCCUCAACACAGCAUUCAUUGGAAUGAAAUUCAGGACAAACACUAUACUAUGCAUGAAGAUCACUGCCUGGAGACCCCAGCUCUUCAUUCCCGACGUCGUAUUUGAAAAUGGAACCUGAGGAAAGCGUGCUUUAUUCAUUUUGUUGUUUUCUGUGGUGCUCGCUCGGCUGCCCUGAAAGCCCACCACAGGAGAGCUCAAUUAGGAGGCUUCAUAAUUUUCACCGGUUAACUUUGAUUAAAUGCACUGUCUUGGAGGGGAAACUCAGCCAAUCCGGGCUAUAAAUUACCUGCAGUGAGUUUUCAACCUAGAGUUUCUGAAAUAUUAGCACCCGGACAGGUCAUUUCUUUCAGGGCUGGACUUUACACCUGAUUUGGAAUUCCGUACUUCAUUUUACCAGAGUCAAGAACUGAGGGCGAAACUGCCUGUAUUGCUCAGCCCAACAGGUCCCUCAAAGCACAUGUAGAAAAAUUCAUUCAUUCAUUCAUUCAUUCAUUCAUUCUGAUGUCUGCCACUGGCUGUAUCCAUUAGUGUAAGGGUGAAGUCCCUUUGACCCCGUCCCCCUCACUAGCUUCUAUUUAUUAUCUUACACCUCACAGUGUCUUCUGGCUCGUGAGCCAGAUUUCAGUCAGAUCAGUUGCCAAAGGUUAGACAAAGCGGGAUGAAAAGAACAGGUUCCCACUGAUGAAUGGUCAGCCAGCUUUCCAGACCAAGGACAAGGGAAAACCAAGGCUGUCUAGGCUCCCCACGAACCAACUAAGUGGUGAGGCCAUGGGAGAAGAGAUCUGGCUGCUUGCAUCUUUGUUGAGGGAAAGGCUGUGGGGGGAAGGGAGGGAAGAGUGUUUUAAGGGUGGGGCUGGGGAUUCAGUAAAAUCAGUUUUUAUCUGUAUUGUCAGUCUUAGAGAAUAACAAGGGUGUGUUUUCAUUUCCUGCUGUAAGAACUCCAAGCCUCUGUUUACCUUCCCUGUGAGACAGGGUUGCUGAAAGCAUUUUGGUUUUCUGGGCUUGGCAUAUGUAACCGUAAAGUCUUAGGCUUUUACGCUAUUGACAUU
rnacentral:lncRNA from 1 species